rnacentral:tRNA from 1 species
AUAUUUUUAGUAUAAUAAGUAUUGUAAAUUUAGAAUUUAUAGGUAAAAAAUAUA